ensembl:snoRNA
GGGAUGUGCUCAAAACAUGGGCCUAAAGAAUGAGCCCUCUAUUUACAACAUACCACAUCAGAAUCUGAGGUAAGUGUUGACAGGAGCAAGACACAUUGAUCUUCCUGUCACAUCAUGACACAUAUUU